GUAAAACAUGAGCCUAAUUCUGGCUUGCAGGAGCGGAGGAACCAUUUUUUUGGGGCGUAUCGCUUAGGCGUAGGGUAACCUCUUCGACCCGAGCCCUUCAGCUAACUUCGCAGGCUUCGAUGAGGAGAACC
rnacentral:sRNA from 2 species